CACGGGACUUCCACAGAGGUUAGAGUCCCACGCAGGGAUCGCUCUCACGACCCUGGGAACAUGACCUGAGCUGAAACCAAGAGUUAGAUGCUCAUGGACUGAGCCAUGCAGG